CACCAGCAUGCUGCAGUAGGGUUCACUAGCAUGCUAUAGCAGAGCUCACUAGCAUAUACAGUGGAGCUCACAAGCUAAGCUAACUCCACUGCUUCUUAUGGAUGCUAAGAUAACAGCAAUGAUGGAGCGUGAUGCUAAGCUAUCACCGCUGCUAUAACUAGUGGAAGAAUUUCUAUAGGAAAAGGCAUGUAACAAACAACGAGAUAAUCGGCAAGAUCUCCUGGAGGAGGGAAUGAACGACGUGGAUCAACAAGAGUCUGGGGUAUGCUCGGAUCAUCAUCGUCGGGAGGAUCUUUUGCAUUGAUCGAUGCCGGGGUCUGGAAUAUAUUCAGAUGACUUGUAAUCAUCGGGGUAUGUCUUGGAUUUUUGGUGCUGGUUGGUGCGGGUGAUUUUUUCUAAUGAUGAUGGUCUGAAUCUGGUUGGAUUUUUGGUAUUGAUUGAUGUGGAUGAUUUUUUCCUGAUGAUAAUCGUCUGAGUAUAUUUAGAUUUUUUGGUCCAGAUUAAUAUAAAUAACUUGUCUGUGGAUGUUGGAAAUGUAAUUACAUCACUGAUCUUAAGGAUCCUUAAUAACCUGAAUUUCUGAUUGUAGGGUAUAAAUAUUUGAUAUUAAGUUCUAAAUAUGUUGAUAAUUCAUGUAAAGAAAAGUAACUCCCUUCUAAGCGACCAGCUUCUGAUUGAUGUUGUAAAAUCUUGAAAUAAACCAUUUCAUUCAGUCAUUCAUUUAGUAUUAAUGCUAAAAGUGAGGCAGUUUACUUCAAGUUUACUUCUUACUAUUAUAUAUGCCAGUAAGUUUUUUUUUGUUGUCAAUGUUUUCACAGUCUAAUUGUUUUACUCUUUUUUUAAUAAUUGUUGCUGCCCUCUUAUUGAUUUCAUAGGCUAAACUCUACUACUACAAUCAUCAACUACGACAUCUGUCACAAAAAGCAAAGCCCGGUCCAGUCUGACCGAUUAUUUUCUCAGUAUCAGUUUGUCCUAAAUGAACAUGACAAAAGACAAGAAGAGGAUAAUUAAAAGUCAAGCUUUGACUGACUGCAGUCUGAGAAGAGGAGCUGUGCGGUUGCCAGGCAGCAACACGAUCCGACAGUCAGUCAAGCAAAGACAGUGGCUUUAAUUACUCAACUACAUACAUUACAGGUGGAUGAGGGUUUUCUUCAGAGACCCUGCAGACACAUUCAGUCUAUAGGAAACAACAGCUGCUUCUCUUUUUGACAUUGUGUGAAGACGCUGAGGUCAUUUGUGCAUGAAGUAAAACUUUUGAAUCAUUUGUUGACAUAUUUGUUCAAAUCUGUUGACCGAAGCAAAAGUCUCCUCAGGUGAUGGUGAAAAACAGCUGCUCAUCAACAGGGGGCAGCAAACACAUUUGUUUUAGUUAAGGUGGCAUUUAAAAAUAUAUAAGAUAAGAAUAAGUGUUUUUUACUUUUUAUUUUAAACAUAAGUAUCUUUUUUCUGUGCUAUUUCUGAUCAAAUUAGCAUGUUUAUGCUGCACGUUUUUGCAACAGAUUUUAUGUCCAGUUAAUUUUUCUUUUUAUUCAACAAAUAAAUGGAGCAAAAUGUCAGCUUAAUAAAUCCUGAGAUAUCAGGAAAUCUGUGUGGACCCCUAAAGGUUGCAGUGCACAGGUGUAGGACCUGCUGCAGGUGUGGAGAGGCGAGAAGAGCCUCGUCAAAUUUAAUGACUCCACUUCAACAAGCUUCUGUUUAACUACCAUCCACAUGUUCACACUCAUUAAAAGAAAAAACACCUUCAACCCCCUCUAUUUCGUAUUCUGUUCCCCCAUUUUUACCCAAAGAAAAGGAUAAAGCCUGUUGCUAGGCAGGCAGUGCGACAGUUGCCAUGGGAACGCUUGCAGACAUAGCUCAAAGGGGGGAAAAUGUCAGGGAUAGGGUGGGAUAAGGAUGGCGAGCAAAAAAAGAGGGAGUGAUGCAGAGAGACACAGGCUGAGAGUGAGGGCUCGGGUCCGGGGGGGGAGGGGGAGCCAAGUUCACGACUGAUGUCUCUGCGUUCGCCGUUUGACUCCUCCUCCUGCUGAAGAAUGGAACAAAGAAGUUCAAAGGAAUGCUGAUCGAUACAUCGAGCCGAACGGCAGCGCCACAGUCGCAAAAAGCUCAAUUCAUCUGAUUUCUUUAAUGACUGCUGACACGGCGGUCUGAACGUGUGACGGCGAUGCAGAAAGAAGAGGGGAGGAGAGGGGUCUGUUUCUGCAAUGGUUGAAUGUUGACAAAAUCUCAGAGGAAACAGGCUCCAUGGCCGCCGGCUCGCUCCCGCCUCUGAUCUGGAGCAAA